UACAUCGGAACGUGCCCAGACGUGGGGGAUAACUACUCGAAAGAGUAGCUAAUACCGCAUACGAUCUACGGAUGAAAGCGGGGGAUCGCAAGACCUCGCGCGUCUGGAGCGGCUGAUGGCAGAUUAGGUAGUUGGUGGGAUAAAAGCCUACCAAGCCAACGAUCUGUAGCUGGUCUGAGAGGAUGAUCAGCCACACUGGGACUGAGACACGGCCCAG
rnacentral:rRNA from 1 species